AUUGAACGCUGGCGGCAUGCUUUACACAUGCAAGUCGAACGGUAACAGGCCGCAAGGUGCUGACGAGUGGCGAACGGGUGAGCAAUGCAUCCGAACGUGCCCAGUCGUGGGGGCUCACUGCUCGAAAGAGCAGCAUAUACCGCAUACGAUCCAUGGAUGAAAGCGGGGGACCGGAAGGCGUCGCGCGAUAGGGGCGGCAGAUGUCAGAUGAGGUAGUUGGUGGGGUGAAGGCUCACCAAGCCAACGACCUGUAGCUGGUCUUAGAGGACGACCAGCCACACUGGGACUGAGGCACGGCCCAGACUCCUACGGGAGGCAGCAGUGGGGAAUUUUGGACAAUGGGGGCAACCCUGAUCCAGCAAUGCCGCGUGCAGGAAGAAGGCCUUCGGGUUGUAAACUGCUUUUGUACGGAACGAAACGGUCUGGGUUAAUACCCUGGGCUAAUGACGGUACCGUAAGAAUAAGCACCGGCUAACUACGUGCCAGCCGCCGCGGUAAUAC
rnacentral:rRNA from 1 species